rnacentral:tRNA from 1 species
GAAUCUGUAGUUUAUGAGAAUAACUCAUUUACAAUGAGUAGGGGUGUGGAUUCU